CGGACGGGUGAGUAACGCGUGGGUAACCUGCCUCACACUGGGGGAUAACAGUUAGAAAUAGCUGCUAAUACCGCAUAAGCGCACAGUUCCGCAUGGAACAGUGUGAAAAACUCCGGUGGUGUGAGAUGGACCCGCGUCUGAUUAGCCAGUUGGCGGGGUAACGGCCCACCAAAGCGACGAUCAGUAGCCGGCCUGAGAGGGUGAACGGCCACAUUGGGACUGAGACACGGCCCAA
rnacentral:rRNA from 1 species